GACACGGUGGUGCAGUGGGUAGCACAAUUGCCUCAGAGCAAGAAGGUCACUGGUUCGAUCCCCGGCUGGGUCA
rnacentral:tRNA from 1 species